rnacentral:tRNA from 4 species
AGUUAAUAAGUUUUAUAAAACUUAUAUUUUGAAAAUAUAGAAAAAAGGUUUAAUCCCUUUAUUAACUU